rnacentral:lncRNA from 1 species
AGCUAUUCAUCUUGAAAUAGUUCCAGAUAUGACUGAAAAAUCGUUCAUGCUAGCUUUUCGUAGAUUCAUAAGCAGAAAAUCGAUACCAAGAGUUAUGAUAUCGGACAAUGCUACAACAUUUGUUGCCGCCGCGGAGGAAAUACGAAAGUUAACGGACUCUAAAUCUUUACAUGACAAAUUGUGCCAAUUUGGAACCACAUGGAAAUUCAUACCAAAACGUGCCCCAUGGUACGGCGGAUUUUGGGAAAGACUGGUUGGACUAACUAAAAAUUGUCUAAAAAAGAUUCUUGGACGCGCAUGUAUAGAUUUACCUCUGUUACAGACAUUAGUGGUGGAAAUUGAAGCUAACCUUAACAAUAGACCGCUUACCUAUAUAUCGUCAGACAUUGCCGAUCCAGAGCCGCUUACCCCGUCGCAUCUAUUGUAUGGAAGACAAAUUAAAUCUUUCCCGUAUCCGUUAUAUACAGAUGAAACAGACUGUUAUAGUGCCGAUUUAACAACCAAUCAUGAAACUAUGAAUAAUCAAGC